UACGAAGGGGCUAGCGUUGCUCGGAAUCACUGGGCGUAAAGCGCACGUAGGCGGCUUUUUAAGUCAGGGGUGAAAUCCUGGAGCUCAACUCCAGGACUGCCUUUGAUACUGAGAGCUUGAGCCCGGGAGAGGUGAGUGGAACUGCGAGUGUAGAGGUGAAAUUCGUAGAUAUUCGCAAGAACACCAGUGGCGAAGGCGGCUCACUGGCCCGGUACUGACGCUGAGGUGCGAAAGCGUGGGGAGCAAACAGG
rnacentral:rRNA from 1 species